CCUACGGGUGGCAGCAGUGGGGAAUAUUGGACAAUGGGCGAAAGCCUGAUCCAGCCAUGCCGCGUGUGUUAAGAAGGCCUUCGGGUUGUAAAGCACUUUCAGUGGGGAAGAAAGCCUUGGGGCUAAUACCCUCGAGGAAGGACAUCACCCACAGAAGAAGCACCGGCUAACUCCGUGCCAGCAGCCGCGGUAAUACGGAGGGUGCGAGCGUUAAUCGGAAUUACUGGGCGUAAAGCGCGCGUAGGCGGUCUGAUAAGCCGGUUGUGAAAGCCCCGGGCUCAACCUGGGAACGGCAUCCGGAACUGUCAGGCUAGAGUGCAGGAGAGGAAGGUAGAAUUCCCGGUGUAGCGGUGAAAUGCGUAGAGAUCGGGAGGAAUACCAGUGGCGAAGGCGGCCUUCUGGACUGACACUGACGCUGAGGUGCGAAAGCGUGGGUAGCAAACAGGAUUAGAUACCCCUGUAGUC
rnacentral:rRNA from 1 species